rnacentral:rRNA from 1 species
AAGACAUUGUGUCUUCGAGUCGUUGAUUUCACACUGCCGAGAAAAGCCUCUAGAUAGAAAAUAGGUGCCCGUACCGCAAACCGACACAGGUAGUCAAGAUGAGAAUUCUAAGGUGAGCGAGCGAACUCUCGUUAAGGAACUCGGCAAAAUGACCCCGUAACUUCGGGAGAAGGGGUGCUCUUUAGGGUUAACGCCCAGAAGAGCCGCAGUGAAUAGGCCCAAGCGACUGUUUAUCAAAAACACAGGUCUCUGCUAAACCGUAAGGUGAUGUAUAGGGGCUGACGCCUGCCCGGUGCUGGAAGGUUAAGAGG